UUUCAUCAUCCCAGCAGAAACUCUGUCUCCAUUAAAUAAUAACUUUCACUCUCUCCCUCCCCUCAGACCCUGGCAACCACCAUUCUCCUUCCUGCAUCUGUGAAUUUGAUUAGGUACCUCAUGUAAGUGGAAUCAUGCAGUAUGCAUCCUUUCAUAAAUGACUGAUUUAACUUAGCAUAAUGUCUUCAAGGUUCAUGCAUGUUGCAGCAUGUGUCAGAAUUUCACUCCUUUUUAAAGUAGGUUUAUCUGAACAUCUUGCCCAACCUUUCUUCAGCACUCUGCCAAGUAUUCUGGAUUUUCACAUUUCUGACCACUGCAUCCUAAAAAUUUCUACAGCUCAACUGUAUAUUUGCAGAACACAGCACAAUUAAAAGUCAAGAAGGAGGAGACAGUAAAGGACGAUGAGCAAGUAUGAAGAGAUUCUUCCUUCCCACACUGAGUGCUGUGGUCAGUGCCCCUGUGUCUGUGAGCCAGGUGCCGACUCCCACCCAGUACUCUGGUGAUAUCUGCUGGCCUCCGUGAUUGCUGCUUCGUGAGGUUUCAUUGCUGGGAGGUCUGUGAGCUUCCGGAGGAAGUGGAGGGCCACUUACCAAUCUGUGUAUCCUUAGUACUCAAUCAAGACCAACCCAGCAAAUGCUCAACAAUAUUUUUUUCUAAUCAACUUCAUUUAAUUAAAGUAAAUGAAUUAGUGAAUAUGUAAUAUUCUUCUAUAAGCAGAGGAAGUAGUCAGAAAAGCAAACUAAAUUUUCUUGUCAAAAUAAUUCUAUCUUCAGGAGAAUUUACAAACUUCCCUAUGUGGAGUUUCAAUUCACGUGAUUUUAUUGACGGUAGCUUACUUGGUCUCCUAGCAUACCGAAAACUUCCCCAAGGCUGUUUUAAAUGUUGAUUUGAAUCUAAACACCUAAUUACUGGUCCCUGACUGGAGAUACGGCUCCAGAGGCCCCGCAGUGCUGGCCGCUGCCAAGAGCUGCCUGGCAGUGAUGGAUUGUGCAGCUUGCUAGCCCCGCCAGCUGGGGGCUCAAGACUUCCUACAGAAGUGCCCAGUGGGGAGGCAUGCUCGAGGGGCCUGACUCCUCGUUCCUGCCUGUGUUUUGUAUUUGGGUCCACUUUUGUUUAUUUUUGAGUCAAUACCAGAGACAGAAAGGCCAUAAGUUCUUCUGUUGACACAAGUACAGUCUUCAGCUUUGUAAUGUUCAUCCUUUCCCACCAAGAACAAGAGCUCUGGGGUGACAGUGGCCAGUUCCUGAACUUCCACCAGUAUCUCCGACUGAGUUCUGACCUACCACGUUGGGAGACAAUUCCCCAAGUGCCUUUCCUGUUUCUCCUGACUGAGGUAUUAGCUGCUUUUGUCCCAGACUGCCCUUUCAAGGAUGUUUAUAGAGAGAGCAGUCUGGAAGAUAGUAUACCCCCUACAGAGCAAAGGGCAAGUGUGCUUGCUGUCCAGUGAAAUAAAAAUAAAGUGUCCCUCUGGAGAAAAGGUUAGGCAGGUUUGCUUCCUACAUAUUAUAAAAUACUCAUAUUCCUUAAACUCUGCUUCUCAGCUGUGAUGCAAACUCACUGGAUGUGCAGUGUCCACCGGGUCCCCUCUGUAUCCUCUCAAUGGAAUUUUUGGGGGGCAAAGGGAAUGGAUUCUAAUGUCAUGUUUCUUGCUGUACUGUAAGGAAUAAAGUCUUUUGUCUCUGACU
rnacentral:lncRNA from 10 species